AGAAUGAACGCUGGCGGCAUGCCUAACACAUGCAAGUCGAACGAAGGCUUCGGCCUUAGUGGCGCACGGGUGCGUAACGCGUGGGAAUCUACCCUUAGGUUCGGAAUAACAGUUGGAAACGACUGCUAAUACCGGAUGAUGACGUAAGUCCAAAGAUUUAUCGCCUAGGGAUGAGCCCGCGUAGGAUUAGCUAGUUGGUGUGUAAAGGCGCACCAAGGCGACGAUCCUUAGCUGGUCUGAGAGGAUGAUCAGCCACACUGGGACUGAGACACGGCCCAGACUCCUACGGGAGGCAGCAGUGGGGAAUAUUGGACAAUGGGCGAAAGCCUGACGCAGCGACGCCGCGUGAGGGAUGACGGCCUUCGGGUUGUAAACCUCUUCAGCUCUGACGAAGCGCAAGUGACGGUAGGAGCAGAAGAAGCGACCGGCCAACUACGCGCCAGCAGCCGC
rnacentral:rRNA from 1 species